GAGGGCGGGGCUCCGGGAGGAAGGAGGAUAGGGAUUGGCGGGGGGCGGGGCUCCGGAAUAGGAAAAAAGGAGCAAUGCUCCGGGAGGAAGGAGGACAGGGGUUGGCGGGGAGGCGGGGCUCCGGAGAAAGGCCGGCGGUGGGGCGGGGCUCCAGGAGGAGGAAGGAGGGGGCAGGGCUACGGGAGGAAAGGGGAGGGGCUGCGGGAGGAAGGCUGGCGGUGGGGCGAGGCUCCCGGAGGAAGGAGGAAGGGGGCGGGGCCCCGGGAGGAAAGAGGAAGGAGCAUACACACUGGCGGUGGGACAGGGAUCCGGAGGAAGGAGGAAAAGGGCAGGGCUCCUGGAGGAAGCAAGGCGGGGCGCGGAACUCCAGGAAGGGCGGGUGGGCCUAGGGGUCCCUACAGCCCCUGUACGCUAGACACCCCGUGCUUCAGCCCAGAGAGGUGGUCCUCACUGUGCUCGGCGUCCUCCGUCCCCGGGUCAGUACACAGAGGUGUCCCCACUGUGGUCGGCGUCCUCUGUCCCCGGGUCAGCACACGGGGCGUCCUCACUGUGGUCAGCGUCCCCAUCCCCCGGGGUCAGCACACCGGGUGUCCUCACUGUGGUCGGCAUCCUCCAUCCCUGGGUCAGCAUACAGGAUGUCCCCAGUGUGGUCGGGGACCUCCGUCCCCCAGGUCGGCACACGGGUGUCCCCCUGUGGUCGGCGUCCUCUGUCCCGGUCGCAUCAGUGUCCCCGGGUGGUCGGCGCCCUCCGUCCCCGGGUCAGCAUACAGGAAGUGUCCCCGGGUGGUGGGUCGGCGGGUUCCCCUUCCGUCCUCCCCCCCGGGUCAGCACACGGAAGUGUCCCCACUGUGGUCGGCGUCCUCUGUCCCCAGGUCGGCACUCAGGGUGUCCCCGGCGUGGUCGGCGUCCUCCGUCCCCCGGGUCAGCACACGGAAGUGUCCCCACUGUGGUCGGCGUCCUCUCUCCCCAGGUCGGCACUCAGGGUGUCCCCGGCGUGGUCGGCGUCCUCCGUCCCCCGGGUCAGCACACGGAAGUGUCCUCACUGUGGUCGGCGUCCUCUGUCCCCAGCUCAGCACUCAGGGUGUCCCCAGUAUGGUCGGCGUCCUCCGUCCCCCGCGUCAACACACGGAGGUGUCCUCACUGUGGUCCGCGUCCUCCGUCCCCAGUUUCUUUAGCUGGCAGAGGCAAUUCAGGAUUUUCAAACGUGACCUUUAUUCCUGUUGUCUCAGAGAUAUGGUCAGUGCCCCGAUGCCAAGGUAAACACAAUAGGUACUUCCAAAUGCUAGAGGGAUUACCUAAGCAGGUCGUGUCAAAUGAUUGGGCAGCCAGUUCUGGGCAUAUUAGCCCAGGGCUCAGCUCUGGGGUUGGAGUUCAAGAGUCAGCAGUGUUGAAGAGUGGAGUUGAAGAGUGUUUGAGAGAGUCCUUGGCCUGCUGUGAUCAACCCGUC
rnacentral:lncRNA from 1 species